rnacentral:tRNA from 1 species
GGUCCCGUAGCUCAGCUGGAUAGAGCGACAGUUUCCUAAACUGUAGGUCGCAGGUUCGAGACCUGCCGGGAUCGCCA